rnacentral:rRNA from 1 species
GACGAACGCUGGCGGCGCGCCUAACACAUGCAAGUCGAACGAGCGAGAGAGAGCUUGCUUUCUCAAGCGAGUGGCGAACGGGUGAGUAACGCGUGAGGAACCUGCCUCAAAGAGGGGGACAACAGUUGGAAACGACUGCUAAUACCGCAUAAGCCCACGGCCCGGCAUCGGGUUGAGGGAAAAGGAUUUAUUCGCUUUCAGGAUGGACUCGCGUCCAAUUAGCUAGUUGGUGAGGUAACGGCCCACCAAGGCGACGAUUGGUAGCCGGACUGAGAGGUUGAACGGCCACAUUGGGACUGAGACACGGCCCAG